AAUUUGCACUUUUUCUACAUGGAGAAAUAAAUCUGUAUUGUAGCAGAACUGUUAUUUUUUUUUACUUUUAUAAUAAUUUGUAAAUAAAAUAACGAAUUCAAAAUUAUUUGUUAUCUUUAAUCCAAAAAAUCCUGAAACAGCUGUGACUCUAAUCAAGUGAUUUACAGUCUGGUCCAAAACGAUCCAUAUUAGAUGUAAAUCAUGUAUAAAACUAACAGCAUAGUAUUUAUAUUUUAUGUGGAUCUAGAGAUCUUAAAAAUGGAAAACUUACAAAGCAUGAUGCUCAUCUAGUACAAAAUCUCAUAAAUAACUAUUAAAAAACUGACACUGUUCAUACCCAGCUAAUAACUCAAUUUAAAAUAGAAGUUACUGCUAAUAGCAUAAACCUAAGUUUUCUGAAAUAUUCAACAAAGAAACAAAUUACACUAGUCAUCAUAUUUAAAAUGAAAUAAUUGAAGUAUGUGCAAAUGGCGUAAGAGAUUCAAUUAUAGAAGACAUUAAUAAACAGACUUUUAGUAUAAAGUUUGAUGAAAUGUUAUGAAGAAGAACAAAUGUUUUAUAUUAUUUUAAAACAUGUAAAUAAAAUACUGAAGCUUAAAUAAUUUCACAAUCUUAUGUUUAUGCUUACAUCAUGUCUGGAAAUUUAAUGGAGUCUAUCAAAAAUUAGAAUUAAAUUUUCAAAAGCGAUUUUUACUCAUUGUAUGUUCAUAUAAUAAAUCAUUUGGUUGCAGAUAUAUGAAAAAAUAUUAAAGAAACUAAGUUUUUUUAACAUGAUUAAAUGUGUAUGUGUUAAUUUUUCUCUUCCCCCGUGAAUUGUCAAUUAGUUGAAUUGGAAAAAAACUUGGAUAUAAAAACAAAAACUUUGGGCUAAUUAGAAAUAGUAGAUGGAAUUGUAAAUGUAAAAACUGUGAAGCCAUUAAAUAAUGUUUCAAGAGUAUUUGUAUUGUACUUAAAAGAGAAAUAGAAAAUAAAGUUGAUAGAGAUGUCAAUGAAGCAAAAGGUAUAAUUUAUAGACCACUAUUGUUUUUAUCCAAUUGAUGUAAAUUUUUUUAUAUUAUAAU